AACGAACGCUGGCGGCAUGCCUAACACAUGCAAGUCGAACGAAGGCUUCGGCCUUAGUGGCGCACGGGUGCGUAACACGUGGGAAUCUGCCCUUUGCUUCGGAAUAACAGUUAGAAAUGACUGCUAAUACCGGAUAAUGUCGCAAGACCAAAGAUUUAUCGGCAAAGGACGAGCCCGCGUAAGAUUAGGUAGUUGGUGGGGUAAUGGCCUACCAAGCCGACGAUCUUUAGCUGGUCUGAGAGGAUGAUCAGCCACACUGGGACUGAGACACGGCCCAGACUCCUACGGGAGGCAGCAGUGGGGAAUAUUGGACAAUGGGCGAAAGCCUGAUCCGGCAAUGCCGCGUGAGUGAUGAAGGCCUUAGGGUUGUAAAGCUCUUUUACCCGGGAUGAUAAUGACAGUACCGGGAGAAUAAGCUCCGGCUAACUCCGUGCCAGCCGCCGCCGUAACAC
rnacentral:rRNA from 1 species